rnacentral:lncRNA from 1 species
CCAAAGGCAGGCGUGCAGGGCCUUGGCUACUGCGCUAGGUCUGCUGAUGGCCACAAGCCUUUAGUCCCAGCUCUGCCUUAGCAGUGGGGGUGUCUGAAGGCUCAGGGGAUACACAGGUCCUCUAGGUUCCUGGGGAGAUGAUGAGUGAGAGUUUUGACCAGGAGUGGAUACUGAGGAGAGCAAAGAUCACCUGGUCCUCAUCAAGCCGGACUUCCAGAGGCAAAGCUCCUUAACUGAGGAAUUCAGAAGUCUUUGAGGAAUCACCACCAUGGAAUACUAUGCAGCCAUAAAAAAGAAAGAUAACAUGUCCUUCGCAGGGACAUAGAUGGAGCUGGAGACCAUUCUCCUUAGCAAACUAAACUAUGCAACAAACCUGUACUUGUACCCCAGAACUUAAAAUAAAAGUUUAAAAAAG